rnacentral:tRNA from 1 species
GGCAGUGUGGCCUAGUGGAGAAAGCACGGGCCCGGGGGUCAGAAGGACCUGGGUUCUAAUCCCAGCUCCGCCA